rnacentral:sRNA from 1 species
UUAUAGUCCCGAUUGCAACGGCAUCCUUUUUUGAGGCGGAACGACGAGGAAAAGAUAGAGUGGAAAGCGGGUGAGAGC